rnacentral:rRNA from 1 species
AUUGAACGCUGGCGGCAGGCCUAACACAUGCAAGUCGAGCGGAUGAAGGGAGCUUGCUCCUGGAUUCAGCGGCGGACGGGUGAGUAAUGCCUAGGAAUCUGCCUGGUAGUGGGGGAUAACGUCCGGAAACGGGCGCUAAUACCGCAUACGUCCUGAGGAGGAAGGGGGGGAUCUUCGGACCUCACGCUAUCAGGUGAGCCUAGGUCGGAUUAGCUAGUUGGUGGGGUAAAGGCCUACCAAGGCGACGAUCCGUAACUGGUCUGAGAGGAUGAUCAGUCACACUGGAACUGAGACACGGUCCAGACUCCUACGGGAGGCAGCAGUGGGGAAUAUUGGACAAUGGGCGAAAGCCUGAUCCAGCCAUGCCGCGUGUGUGAAGAAGGUCUUCGGAUUGUAAAGCACUUUAAGUUGGGAGGAAGGGCAGUAAGUUAAUACCUUGCUGUUUUGACGUUACCAACAGAAUAAGCACCGGCUAACUUCGUG